rnacentral:rRNA from 1 species
AGCGUAGGCGGCGUGGUAAGUCAGAUGUGAAAUCCCGGGGCUCAACCCCGGAACUGCAUCCGAUACUGCCGUGCUAGAGGAUUGGAGAGGUAGCUGGAAUUCACGGUGCAGCAGUGAAAUGCGUAGAUAUCGUGAGGAACACUCGUGGCGAAAGCGAGCUACUGGACAACUCCUGACGCUGAGGCUCGAAGGCCAGGGUAGCGAGAG